ACUACCAUACGAGAGAAUAUUUAGAUUUUUUGAAAAUUAAGGGGUUUGCAUAAACCUUGGUCGGGAAACGGUCCUAUGGCCUUUAUGUUAUUCUCCGAAAAUACAAACCAAUUCAACGCCCCCCCUCCUUCCUGGUCUCUCUCUCAGCUGGAAGGCAGAAGUUUUAUGCGAGGUCGUUUUCCCGGCCUAAAUCGAGGGUUUUUACUUCAGAGCUCAAUUCAACACGAUUCGAUCUAACAUGGGUAGGCAAGUCUGGUAAAUUUUGUUGAAAAUGGGGCUGGUUUGGUUAAUUGUUGAGAAAUUGGAAGAGGGUGGUGUUGUUUGGGAUAAUAAUUAGGGUUUUGCUUUUUUAGCAAGUAUGGGUUUUUGCCGAUUUCGGGUUUGGUAAUUAGGGUUUUUGGAGGAUAUUAGUCGGCGAAUUGUGUUCUUUAUUAAGAUAGGGUUCCAGGUUAUUGUUAAUUUGGUGACUCUUUUUGGGUUUAAUUUGAAUUCGUGUUUUGAGUAAUUUAGGGUUUUCUUUGGAGUUCAAUUUCUCUGGUGAGUGUCAAGUGUUUAUCUUUGGUUUUCUUAAGCUGAAGUGAUACAGUAUUUGUAGCUGGAAGUUUGCAUUUUGGUUUAUAAUUUGUAAUUAAAAGUCGUUCUUUGGUGUAUGAUAUGCAAGGGAUUUGUAUGAGUUUGGGCUGAUAAAUGUUUUAUUCACAAUUUAUUUUGGCCAGUAAAGGGCCUUUAGGGACGGUAUGGAUCGCUGCUCAUUUAGAGAGGAUGCUUAGAAAGAACCAGGUGGCUGAUACUCAUAUUGGAGUCUCAGUAGGUUAGUAUUACAAUUUACUAUUUUUAUGCAAUUUCAGAGUCUUAUUUUUGGUCUCUAAAUUAAUUGAAUUUGUUGUUUUGUUAAAUGAAUUAUUUCUCAGUUAAACCUAAUUGUCGGAUUCUGUUAUUUUUAUUCUGUAGCUGAGUGUAAGAUAGUGAACUUACUUAGGUGGUAGAGUUUGCAUUAUUGGUUUCCUUUGUUGUCUUCUCAUGCUUUUGGUAAAAGGAAAGAAUGACAAAAUAAUAAAUUUUCUACGGUGUGGGUUGUUAAACUCCAUCUUUAGGUUAAUUAGUUCAUUGUUGAAUUGGUUAAGUGGCUUUGAAGAGAAAGGUGCUGAUGGGUGACACCAUGGCCUUGCUUGGCGAUUUUGCUUGUUAAAGGAUCAAUCUGCAGGUUGAUUGGUUUGAGCCAACGCUUGAACCGUAGGUUGACACAAUUCAUCCACUUCAACUCUGGAUUAAUCCGUUCCGCGCAUGACUUAGACUAGAUUUAUCAUUGAUUCUCAAUCAAGCCGGACUGAUUUUUUAAAACACUGUAAAAAAUACAAGACAGAUAUUGUAUAUAUAUAUGACUAUCUCAUAUUGGUUGUAAAUGGUAACAUAAGAUUAAUUAAAUACCUUAAAGAUCAAGAACAAACUGAGUGUAUGGUGAAGAACCUCUUGUAGAAUUUUUUAUAUUUUUAUCGACAUCUAAUUAACCAAAUGAUUGUUUAUACUAA